UCCUCCUUUCAAAACGAGCCCUAGCUCUCCGCCGAUUCAGGCGAAAUCGCCGCGCCGCUGGGCUACGUCCGCCGCUGCUCUUGAAUCCAGCGAAGUCGAGGCGACCGUAGGCGCCGCUUCUGAAAUCCCGGGUCACCGCCCUGGUUCGACGCCGUUGCGUCGAACCUGGAGUCCGGCGGAGCAGGGCAGUCAACCCCCUCCUCUUCCGUGCGGUUAGCGUCGACGUCAAGCCGUCAUCUUUCCCCGUUUAAAUGAAACAGGUACCUCGAAUAAGCCUCCCUCCCCUUCUAAAUGCUAAGUUCAAUAUUUAAGUCUAUGUGGAGUCUUGGUUUUGCUACUGAUUUGUGAGAGUUUUCUCAUUGCCUUUAUCUCAAGUGGAGAAAAUAUAUAUGUAUAAAUUGAUUUCUGUAUUAUGCUUAGUCCCCUUAAGCAUAUAAUCAUUUGUAUACUCUGUAUUCUUUAACUGAUCAUGGUUGUUGGAUGAAAUGUGAAUGGAUUGAAGUAAGGGAGCUUAGUAUAUGCCUGUGAAGUUUGGUGUUUGGAUGGCUGCUGUGAGAUUGAGCUCAGUGGUGAAGGAGCUGAAAUAACAUUUUGAUUUGUUUCCUUAACAAAUGCAGGGGAAUUGGAAUGGAGUUGGAAGAAAAAUUCAAGCCGAACGUACCUUUCGAAGCCUGGCAGCAGCAGCUGAGUCUACUUGCUCUUUCUCGGAUUGUUGAAGAAUAAGGAAAUGAAUGAAAAAAGAAUUGUGGUCUGAAAUGAUAAGGGUGAAGAUGUUGGCUCAUGCAUGGGGAAUGUGAGAGGAUUGUAGG
rnacentral:lncRNA from 1 species